UACGUAGGGUGCGAGCGUUUGUCCGGAUUAUUGGGCGUAAAGGGCUCGUAGGCGGUUUGUCGCGUCGGGAGUGAAAACUCAGGGCUUAACCCUGAGCCUGCUUCCGAUACGGGCAGACUAGAGGUAUGCAGGGGAGAACGGAAUUCCUGGUGUAGCGGUGAAAUGCGCAGAUAUCAGGAGGAACACCGGUGGCGAAGGCGGGUCUCUGGGCAGUAACUGACGCUGAGGAGCGAAAGCGUGGGGAGCGAACAGG
rnacentral:rRNA from 1 species